UUUUAUUUUUCUACCCUUUAUUUCUCUUUCAAACAAAGUGUACCCCACUGUACAGGUGGAAGUAUUGAGUCUUGGUGAAUCAAAAGGAUUUUCUUCAGGAUAAUUCAACCAGACAGGCUUCAUUACAAAUGCUGUGCUUGGCUUCUCAAGAAACUGUUCCAUUCGGUGAAAAUGAGAGCUGUUAUACAAUGAGUUUGGAGGCUAAUUUUAAAGCAGGCAUCAGAGAGACAGCCAGGGACAAGAUAUAUACUGUUACCCACUGCAUGGAACCAUGGAACUUCCUAUUUAACUAGUGGGACUUCGCUGGCUGCCAGCAGGAUGGGCCAUUGCUGUCGUGAAAAGCAUCCAUUGACCCACUGUCCUCGGCUGAUGUUGGUACUACUGUACACAGUUGGAUUUCACUUAUAUUUGGAUCCUUAAUUGUCACUGUAAAAAAUUUUCAGAGAUCACCCUGUCAUGACAAGUUAACAGGACAAGUUGUUAACGUAGGUGCCUGCCCAUCACUCACGGGUAGGUCAGUUGAAGGCAGCAGCAAUUGCCAAGUCCCCGAGUGCUCACACAAUUGUCCGAGCCAAGUGCAGGACCUGCACACGCAUGGUGAGGGGCUGCAGCGCAGGUGGAGAACAGACUGCUCCAUAACAGCUUCCAGUUGACUUCCUAGAGAAUGUGUGAAACUUCCAAUGAUCUUACUCAGCUCGAAAAUAUCAACUACCAAUUUAAACAUAUAGAUAAAAAUUCUAAUGUCCUUCCUUAUGCCUCAAAAUAAUCUGUUACAGUGUCUAAGAUUAU